AAGAUGGUUUUGCUAUCACUUAUAGAUGGACCCGCGCCGUAUUAGCUAGUUGGUAAGGUAACGGCUUACCAAGGCAACGAUACGUAGCCGACCUGAGAGGGUGAUCGGCCACACUGGAACUGAGACACGGUCCAGACUCCUACGGGAGGCAGCAGUAGGGAAUCUUCCGCAAUGGGCGAAAGCCUGACGGAGCAACGCCGCGUGAGUGAUGAAGGGUUUCGGCUCGUAAAACUCUGUUAUUAGGGAAGAACAAAUGUGUAAGUAACUGUGCACGUCUUGACGGUACCUAAUCAGAAAGCCACGGCUAACUACGUGCCAGCAGCCGCGGUAAUACGUAGGUGGCAAGCGUUAUCCGGAAUUAUUGGGCGUAAAGCGCGCGUAGGCGGUUUCUUAAGUCUGAUGUGAAAGCCCACGGCUCAACCGUGGAGGGUCAUUGGAAACUGGGAAACUUGAGUGCAGAAGAGGAAAGUGGAAUUCCAUGUGUAGCGGUGAAAUGCGCAGAGAUAUGGAGGAACACCAGUGGCGAAGGCGACUUUCUGGUCUGUAACUGACGCUGAUGUGCGAAAGCGUGGGGAUCAAACAGGAUUAGAUACCCUGGUAGUCCACGCCG
rnacentral:rRNA from 1 species